rnacentral:rRNA from 1 species
GAGUUUGAUCAUGGCUCAGAUUGAACGCUGGCGGCAGGCCUAACACAUGCAAGUCGAACGGUAACAGGAAACAGCUUGCUGCUUCGCUGACGAGUGGCGGACGGGUGGGUAAUGUCUGGGAAACUGCCUGAUGGAGGGGGAUAACUACUGGAAACGGUAGCUAAUACCGCAUAACGUCGCAAGACCAAAGAGGGGGACCUUCGGGCCUCUUGCCAUCAGAUGUGCCCAGAUGGGAUUAGCUAGUAGGUGGGGUAACGGCUCACCUAGGCGACGAUCCCUAGCUGGUCUGUGAGGAUGACCAGCCACACUGGAACUGAGACACGGUCCAGACUCCUACGGGAGGCAGCAGUGGGGAAUAUUGCACAAUGGGCGCAAGCCUGAUGCAGCCAUGCCGCGUGUAUGAAGAAGGCCUUCGGGUUGUAAAGUACUUUCAGCGGGGAGGAAGGGAGUAAAGUUAAUACCUUUGCUCAUUGACGUUACCCGCAGAAGAAGCACCGGCUAACUCCGUGCCAGCAGCCGCGGUAAUACGGAGGGUGCAAGCGUUAAUCGGAAUUACUGGGCGUAAAGCGCACGCAGGCGGUUUGUUAAGUCAGAUGUGAAAUCCCCGGGCUCAACCUGGGAACUGCAUCUGAUACUGGCAAGCUUGAGUCUCGUAGAGGGGGGUAGAAUUCCAGGUGUAGCGGUGAAAUGCGUAGAGAUCUGGAGGAAUACCGGUGGCGAAGGCGGCCCCCUGGACGAAGACUGACGCUCAGGUGCGAAAGCGUGGGGAGCAAACAGGAUUAGAUACCCUGGUAGUCCACGCCGUAAACGAUGUCGACUUGGAGGUUGUGCCCUUGAGGCGUGGCUUCCGGAGCUAACGCGUUAAGUCGACCGCCUGGGGAGUACGGCCGCAAGGUUAAAACUCAAAUGAAUUGACGGGGGCCCGCACAAGCGGUGGAGCAUGUGGUUUAAUUCGAUGCAACGCGAAGAACCUUACCUGGUCUUGACAUCCACGGAAGUUUUCAGAGAUGAGAAUGUGCCUUCGGGAACCGUGAGACAGGUGCUGCAUGGCUGUCGUCAGCUCGUGUUGUGAAAUGUUGGGUUAAGUCCCGCAACGAGCGCAACCCUUAUCCUUUGUUGCCAGCGGUCCGGCCGGGAACUCAAAGGAGACUGCCAGUGAUAAACUGGAGGAAGGUGGGGAUGACGUCAAGUCAUCAUGGCCCUUACGACCAGGGCUACACACGUGCUACAAUGGCGCAUACAAAGAGAAGCGACCUCGCGAGAGCAAGCGGACCUCAUAAAGUGCGUCGUAGUCCGGAUUGGAGUCUGCAACUCGACUCCAUGAAGUCGGAAUCGCUAGUAAUCGUGGAUCAGAAUGCCACGGUGAAUACGUUCCCGGGCCUUGUACACACCGCCCGUCACACCAUGGGAGUGGGUUGCAAAAGAAGUAGGUAGCUUAACCUUCGGGAGGGCGCUUACCACUUUGUGAUUCAUGACUGGGGUGAAGUCGUAACAAGGUAACCGUAGGGGAACCUGCGGUUG